UGGCGGACGGGUGAGUAACGCGUGGGUAACCUGCCUUGUACUGGGGGACAACAGUUAGAAAUGACUGCUAAUACCGCAUAAGCGCACAGUAUCGCAUGAUACGGUGUGAAAAACUCCGGUGGUACAAGAUGGACCCGCGUCUGAUUAGCCAGUUGGUAAGGUAACGGCUUACCAAGGCGACGAUCAGUAGCCGACCUGAGAGGGUGACCGGCCACAUUGGGACUGAGACACGGCCCAA
rnacentral:rRNA from 1 species